rnacentral:sRNA from 1 species
UCAUAUUAAAGAAUUGGGUGGUACGCAC